UGCAAGUCGAACGAACACUUCGGUGUUAGUGGCGCACGGGUGCGUAACGCGUGGGAAUCUGCCCUUGGGUUCGGAAUAACGUCGGGAAACUGACGCUAAUACCGGAUGAUGACGAAAGUCCAAAGAUUUAUCGCCCAAGGAUGAGCCCGCGUAGGAUUAGCUAGUUGGUGGGGUAAAGGCCCACCAAGGCGACGAUCCUUAGCUGGUCUGAGAGGAUGAUCAGCCACACUGGGACUGAGACACGGCCCAGACUCCUACGGGAGGCAGCAGUAGGGAAUAUUGGACAAUGGGGGCAACCCUGAUCUAGCAAUGCCGCGUGAGUGAUGAAGGCCUUAGGGUUGUAAAGCUCUUUUACCCGGGAUGAUAAUGACAGUACCGGGAGAAUAAGCCCCGGCUAACUCCGUGCCAGCAGCCGCGGUAAUACGGAGGGGGCUAGCGUUGUUCGGAAUUACUGGGCGUAAAGCGCACGUAGGCGGCGAUUUAAGUCAGAGGUGAAAGCCCGGGGCUCAACCCCGGAACUGCCUUUGAGACUGGAUUGCUAGAAUCUUGGAGAGGCGGGUGGAAUUCCGAGUGUAGAGGUGAAAUUCGUAGAUAUUCGGAAGAACACCAGUGGCGAAGGCGGCCCGCUGGACAAGUAUUGACGCUGAGGUGCGAAAGCGUGGGGGAGCAAACAGGAUUAGAUACCCUGGUAGUCCACGCC
rnacentral:rRNA from 1 species